rnacentral:rRNA from 1 species
CCUACGGAGGGCUGCAGUGAGGAAUAUUGGUCAAUGGCCGGAAGGCUGAACCAGCCAAGCCGCGUGAAGGACGAAGGUGCCAAGCAUUGUAAACUUCUUUUGUCAGGGGACAAAAUCAGGCUCGAGAGCCUGACCGAGGGUACUUGAAGAAAAAGCAUCGCCUAACUCCGUGCCAGCAGCGCCGGUAAUACGGAGGAUGCGAUGGUUAUCCGGAUUUAUUGGGUUUAAGGGGUGCGUAGGCGGAUGGUUAAGUCAGCGGUAAAGGCCGGGGGCUCAACCCCGGCGAGCCGUUGAAACUGGCUGUCUUGAGAUGUCGAGAGGUAUGCGGAAUGCGCAGUGUAGCGGUGAAAUGCUUAGAUAUUGCGCAGAACUCCGAUUGCGAAGGCAGCAUACCGGCGGCGAUCUGACGCUGAGGCACGAAAGCGUGGGUAUCGAACAGGAUUAGAUACCCUAGUAGUC